rnacentral:rRNA from 1 species
AAUGGUAUUAACGGGUAACGGGGAAUUAGGGUUCUAUUCCGGAGAGGGAGCCUGAGAAACGGCUACCACAUCCAAGGAAGGCAGCAGGCGCGCAAAUUACCCAAUGCUAAUUCAGCGAGGUAGUGACAAUAAAUACUGAUACGGGGCUCUUUCGGGUCUCGUAAUUGGAAUGAGUACAAUCUAAAUCCCUUAACGAGGAACAAUUGGAGGGCAAGUCUGGUGCCAGCAGCCGCGGUAAUUCCAGCUCCAAUAGCGUAUAUUAAAGUUGUUGCCGUUAAAAAGCUCGUAGUUGAACCUUGGACCUGGCUGAUCUGUCCUCCUAAUCGAGCGCACGGAUUCGGUCGGGUCUUUCCUUCUGGGGAGCCCUAUGCCCUUCACUGGGUGUAGUGGGGAACCAGGACUUUUACCUUGAAAAAAUUAGAGUGUUCAAAGCAGGCCUUUGCUCGAAUACAUUAGCAUGGAAUAAUAGAAUAGGACAUCGGUUCUAUUUUGUUGGUUUCUAGGACCGCUGUAAUGAUUAAUAGGGAUAGUCGGGGGCGUCAGUAUUCAAUUGUCAGAGGUGAAAUUCUUGGAUUUAUUGAAGACUAACUACUGCGAAAGCAUUCGCCAAGGAUGUUUUCAUUAAUCAGUGAACGAAAGUUAGGGGAUCGAAGACGAUCAGAUACCGUCGUAGUCUUAACCAUAAACUAUGCCGACUAGGGAUCGGACGGUGGUUUUUUUAUGCCCCGUUCGGCACCUUACGAGAAAUCAAAGUUUUUGGGCUCGGGGGGGAGUAUGGUCGCAAGGCUGAAACUUAAAGAAAUUGACGGAAGGGCACCACCAGGCGUGGAGCCUGCGGCUUAAUUUGACCCAACACGGGGAAACUCACCAGGUCCAGACAUGCUUAGGAUUGACAGAUUGAUAGCUCUUUCUUGAUUGUAUGGGUGGUGGUGCAUGGCCGUUCUUAGUUGGUGGAGUGAUUUGUCUGCUUAAUUGCGAUAACGAACGAGACCUUGACCUGCUAAAUAGCCAGGUUGACUUUUGUCGGCCGCCGGCUUCUUAGAGGGACUUUUGGCUCAAGCCAAUGGAAGUACGAGGCAAUAACAGGUCUGUGAUGCCCUUAGAUGUUCUGGGCCGCACGCGCGCUACACUGACAGAGCCAGCGAGUACAUCACCUUGGCCGAAAGGUCUGGGUAAUCUUGUUAAACUCUGUCGUGCUGGGGAUAGAUUAUUGUAAUUAUUAAUCUUCAACGAGGAAUUCCUAGUAAACGCGAGUCAUCAGCUCGCAUUGAUUACGUCCCUGCCCUUUGUACACACCGCCCGUCGCUACUACCGAUUGAAUGGCUUAGUGAGACCUCCGGAUUGGCUUUGGGGAGUCGGCAACGACACCCC